UACGGAGGAUGCAAGCGUUAUCCGGAUUUAUUGGGUUUAAAGGGUGCGUAGGCUGUUCGACAAGUCAGGGGUGAAAGCCCGGCGCCUAACGCCGGAACUGCCUUUGAUACUGCCGAGCUGGAAUACGGAUGCCGUGGGAGGAAUGAGUAGUGUAGCGGUGAAAUGCAUAGAUAUUACUCAGAACACCGAUUGCGAAGGCAUCUCACGAAUCCGUCAUUGACGCUGAGGCACGAAAGCGUGGGGAUCAAAC
rnacentral:rRNA from 1 species